rnacentral:rRNA from 1 species
GACGAACGCUGGCGGCGUGCCUAAUACAUGCAAGUAGAACGCUGAAGGAGGAGCUUGCUUCUCUGGAUGAGUUGCGAACGGGUGAGUAACGCGUAGGUAACCUGCCUGGUAGCGGGGGAUAACUAUUGGAAACGAUAGCUAAUACCGCAUAACAGUAGAUAUCGCAUGAUAGCUGCUUGAAAGGUGCAAUUGCACCACUACCAGAUGGACCUGCGUUGUAUUAGCUAGUUGGUGGGGUAACGGCUCACCA